ensembl:lncRNA
AAUAGAACUUCUCUGAGCAUAACCAUUAACUUUUGAACCUUUCCAAUAUUAUUUAAAACACCCAAUAGAUUCUGAAAGCCCAAACUAAAGUGAUAUAAUACUUGCACUUUGAAAUUGGAAAGUUAAGUAACUCACCUUUCCUUGAGAAUUUUCAUAAGAAAACAGCUCAACAGCCCUCCUGAGACAUCAAUAAUUAAACAGAGGAAUAUCUUUUCCAGGUACACACAUUUUUGCAAUUAGAAGUAUUACAUACAAAGGUUAUUGAAUGUUUGAGCCUCCAAGAAAAACUGCAAUAAUUUUUUGCAAACUUCUAAAAAAUUGAGUAUAGUUAAUUGUACAAUAUUAUAUGAGUUACAAGUAUACAAUACAGUGAUUCACAACUUUUAAAGAUUAUACCCAUUUAUAGUUAUUAUAAAAUAUUGACUAUAUUCCCUAUGUUGUACAAUAUAUCUUUAUGGCUUAUUUUAUACUUAAUGGUUUGUACCUCUUAAUCCCCUUCCCCAGACUUUGCCUCUCCUUUUCUAUCUUCCCACUGGUAACCACUAGUUUGUUCUUCUUAUCUGUGAGUCUCCUCUUUUGUUAUAUUUACUAGUUUGUUGGGCUUUUUUUUUUUUUUUUUGACUCCACAUAUAAGUGAUACCAUACAAUAUCUGUCUUUGUCUGACUUAUUCUACUUAUUAUAGUGCCUUCCAAGUCCAUGCAUGUUGUUGCAAAUGGCAGUUUCAUUCCUUUUUAUGGCUGCUUAGUAUGCCAUUGUAUAUACAUUACAUAUCACAUCUUCUUUAUUCAUUCAUCUGUUGAUAGAUACUUAGGUUUCUUCCAUACCUUAGCAAUUAUAGAUAAUGCUCCUGUGACCAUUAGAGUACGUGUAUCUUUUCAAAUUAGUGUUUUUUGGCUGUCUACCCAGGAGUGGAAUUAUUGGGUCAUAUGGUAGUUUAUUUUUAGUUUUUGGAGAAACCUCAACCCUGAUCCACAGUGUCUCCAUCAAUUUACAGCCUCACCAACAGAUUGCAAGGGUUUCCUUUUUUCCACAUCCUUGCCAAUACUUGGUAUUUGUGUUCUGUUCAUUCUGACAGAUGUGAGGUGAUAUCUUAUUGUGGUUUUGAUUUGCAUUUCCCUAAAGAUUAGUGAUGUUAAGAAUCUUUUCAUGUGCUUGUUGUUCAUCUGCAUUUUCUCUUUGGAAAAAUUCUAUUGAAUUAUUUUGCCCAUUUUAAAAUCAUGUUGUCUUUUCAAUGUUGAGUGAACUGUUUAUAUAUGUUAGAUAUUAACAUGUUAUUGACUGUAUCAUUAGCAAAUAUUUUCUCCUAUUCAGUAGGUUGAUGGUUUCCUUUGCUGUGCAUAAGCUUUUAAGUUUAAUUUCGUCCCAUUUGUUUAUUUUUGGUUUUAUUUCAGUUGUUUUAGGAGACAGAUCCCCCCCCACCCAAAUAUUACUAUUAUUUACAUUAAGACUGAUCUGCCUAUAUUUUCUUCCAAGAGUUUUAUAGUAUCUAGUCUUACAUUUAGGUCUUUAAUUCAUUUUGGGUUUAUUUUUGUAUAUGGAUGGUAUGUACAUUGUUGCAUUUUGUAUAUGUACUGUUUAAUUUGGUUUGAUGAUAUUUUGUUGAGAACUUUUUGCAUCUAUGUUGAUCAGUAAUACUGACCUGCAAUUUUCUUCUUUUGUGAUAACUUUGUCUACCCUCCUACCCCUUUUGUUGUGAUUCCUUCUUUAUGUCUUUUGCUUUAGGUCUUUUUCAUUGAUGAUAAUCUGCAGAUAGUUGUGAUUUUAGUGUGCUCACAAGAGGAGGCGAGCUCACAGUCUUUCCAAUUUUCCAUCUUGGCUAUCUCUUUGCAAACUUUUUAACAUGCCUUCUCAUACAGGAUAAGGAUAAGUGGCUUGUGAAAAUGACAAAUUAUCCAAAUUAUUUCGAGAAGGCAAGCAGAAGUAUCCUGCUCUAGGAGAUGUCCUAUGUGUCCCAGCAGUGCUCUCCCCUCUUGUCACCAAGCUAUUUGUUCUAAGGGUUCCCCCUAGGGAGACUAUAUGGGUCAUUCCAUUGUAGUGGGCUGGCUAUGGGGGUGGUCUGAUAGGCUUGUUUGAAUCCUAGCCCAGUUGGUUGCCAGGCUCUGCCUUGUGCAGAUACACUAGCUGUUAGCAGGGUCUGGUCGUGAGAUGACUGGCUACAGAACCCCAGGGGGUC